rnacentral:rRNA from 1 species
GCCCUUAGAGUUUGAUCAUGGCUCAGAGUGAACGCUGGCGGCGUGGAUUAGGCAUGCAAGUCGAGCGAUAUUUUAGGUAGAGAGGUUGAAGCCGCAAGGCCGAUGCCAAUUUGCCUGAUUUAUAGCGGCAGACUGGUGAGGAACGCGUGAGUAAUUUACCCCCAAGUCGGAGAUAGCCUUACGAAAGUGAGGGUAAUAUCCGAUGUGUUUAUGAUAGCAUAAGCUGUCAUAUGUAAAGGCGGCUCGUAAGAGCUGUUGCUUAGGGAUGAGCUCGCGUCCUAUCAGCUAGUUGGUAGGGUAACGGCCUACCAAGGCUAUUGACGGGUAGCUGGCCUGAGAGGGUGGUCAGCCACACGGGGACUGAGACACUGCCCCGACUCCUACGGGAGGCUGCAGUCGAGGAUAUUUAGCAAUGGGCGCAAGCCUGACUAUGCGACGCCGCGUGAGGGAUGAAGGUUUUCGGAUCGUAAACCUCUUUCGAUGGGAAAGAAAGCCCCGAGUACUAAUACUAGUCGGGGUUGACGGUACCCAGAGAAGAAGCCACGGCCAACUCCGUGCCAGCAGCCGCGGUAAUACGGGGGUGGCGAGCGUUACUCGGAUUCAUUGGGUGUAAAGGGCAGGUAGGCGGUUAUGUAAGUUGGAGGUGAAAUCCUUGGGCUCAACCCAAGAACUGCCUUCAAGACUGCAUAGCUNGAGACCAGAAGAGGAGAGCGGAAUUCCCGGUGUAAGGGUGAAAUCUGUAGAUAUCGGGAGGAACACCAGUGGCGAAAGCGGCUCUCUGGUCUGGUUCUGACGCUNGCUGCGAAAGCUAGGGGAGCAAACAGGAUUAGAUACCCUGGUAGUCCUAGCCGUAAACGAUGAGCACUAGGUGUUGGGGGUAACCCUUCAGC